rnacentral:rRNA from 1 species
UAGCAGAGGUCUCAAGCGUUUGUUCGGAUUGCAGUUGGGCGUAAAGGGUGUCGUAGGCGGCGCGGUUAAAGUCGGAUGUGAAAUCUCGGAGCUUUAACUCCGAAACUGCAUCGAUACUGCCGUGACGUUGAGGACUGGAGAGGAGACGUGGAAUUUACGGUGUAGCGGUGAAAUGCGUAGAUAUCGUAAGGAACGCCGGUGGCGAAAGCGACUGUCUGG